rnacentral:lncRNA from 1 species
CCGAGCUCGAGCGAGCUUAUGUCUGCUCAAAUUCAGCUUGAAAUUAAUUUCGAGCCUAAAUCUAGGCUCAAGCUCGGCUUGAAAUUAAUUCGAGCCGAGCUCGAGCGAGCCUAAUUUCGAGUCGAGCUGAGCUCGAGCUCUAAACGAGCCGAUUGAAAUUCUCGACAUUAUAUAAUCAAUAUUUUAAUUUUUAUAGAACAUUACCUACAAUUUGAUGCAACAUGUCCAAUAGUUCAAAAUACAAAAUAAUUAUAAGAAAUGUGAGCUAGGGUGACUUCCUGACUCGAUAAGGGUCUGAGAGAGAGAGAGAGAGAGAGAGAGGAAAAAAAGUAGGGAUUUGAAAAUUUGAAUGUUAUUAUGUUUUAGGGUUAUGUGCAACAGUGAAAGUCUGAAAGAGAGAGUGUGUUAUGUAAAUUUAGAGUUGGGCUCAAUUGCACGUUUGUACUUGUUGGGUUUAUUUUAUGGGCCAACAAUAAUGGCCCAAAUUAAAUUAAAGCCUAUAUAUAAUUUAAAAUACAUU